AGCGGCGGACGGGUGAGUAACACGUGGGUAACCUACCUGUAAGUCUGGGAUAACCCCGGGAAACCGGGGCUAAUACCGGAUAGGCACCACGUGCGCAUGCAUGUGGUGUGAAAGGCGGGUUUUGNCCUGCCGCUUACAGAUGGGCCUGCGGCGCAUUAGCUAGUUGGUGAGGUAACGGCUCACCAAGGCGACGAUGCGUAGCCGGCCUGAGAGGGUGACCGGCCACACUGGGACUGAGACACGGCCCAGACUCCUACGGGAGGCAGCAGUAGGGAAUCUUCCGCAAUGGGCGAAAGCCUGACGGAGCGACGCCGCGUGAGCGAGGAAGGCCUUCGGGUCGUAAAGCUCUGUUGUGAGGGAAGAAAGAGUGCAGGAGUAACUGUCUGCACGUUGACGGUACCUCACGAGGAAGCCCCGGCUUAACUACGUGCCAGCAGCCGCGGUAAUACGUAGGGGGCGAGCGUUG
rnacentral:rRNA from 1 species